rnacentral:lncRNA from 1 species
CGAAAUAACCAAUCGAUUUCGGUCGGUUUUUUAAAUAUUAGUUUUAGUUUAUUUUAUAUGAAAAAUCGACCGAUUCCGGUCGGUUUCUUAAAAAAUAAAUCCCGCGGGAUGCUAAUGUAGUUUUCCGUAUUUUUACGGAAAAAAACCGUCGAAAGUCGGUCGGUUCCGUAUACAAAAUAAAAAAAUAAAAAAUUUUAAAAAUCGACCGACUUCGGUGAGUUUUUUAGUCGGUUUUUGUUUUUUCUUUGUUCUUUUCGGGCCUGGCUAUAAAAAGGAAAGAUCAAGUGAUGGCAAGCGCAGUUACACUGAAUAGCGGCUUCCAAAUUAGGAUCAACUUAGCGAAGGAUGGCAAGAGCAGUUAGUAUUCCCACAAU